rnacentral:snRNA from 1 species
GUACUAGCUCCAGUAGCACAUACACUAAAAUUGGAACCAUACAGAGAAGAACAGAGAUUAGCACAGCCCCUGCACAAGGAUGAUGCAAAUUUGUGAAGCGUUCUGUAUUUCU